rnacentral:rRNA from 1 species
AUUGAACGCUGGCGGCGUGCCUAACACAUGCAAGUCGAGCGGUAACAGGUGUAGCAAUACAUGCUGACGAGCGGCGAACGGGUGAGUAAUGCUUCGGAAUCUACCUUAUGGUGGGGAAUAACUAGCCGAAAGGUUAGCUAAUACCGCAUACGUCCUACGGGAGAAAGCAGGGGAUCGCAAGACCUUGCGUCAAAAGAUGAGCCGAAGUCGGAUUAGCUAGUUGGUAGGGUAACGGCCUACCAAGGCGACGAUCCGUAGCUGGUCUGAGAGGACGAACAGCCAAACUGGGACUGAGACACGGCACAGACUCCUACGGGAGGCAGCAGUGGGGAAUAUUGGACAAUGGGGGAAACCCUGAUCCAGCGACGCCGCGUGUGUGAAGAAGGCCUGCGGGUUGUAAAGCACUUUUAGUGGGGAUGAAAUGUGCAGGGUUAAUACCUCUGCAUUUUGACCUAACCCACAGAAAAAGCACCGGCUAACUCUGUGCCAGCCGCCGCCGUAA